rnacentral:rRNA from 1 species
AUUGAACGCUGGCGGCAUGCCUUACACAUGCAAGUCGAACGGUAACAGGCCGUAGCUUGCUGACUUGCUGCGGAGUGGCGAGUAAUUCAUCAGAACGUGCCCAGCGGCGGGGUGUAACGCAACAACAACUGUACUCAUACCCCAAUUCCUCUUAGCAUCACAGCAGGGGAGCAGGCAGCAAUGUUUCCCCUCGCGCCCUUGUAUGCCCCGAUGUCAGAUUAGGUAGUAGGUGGGGUAAAGGCCUACCUAGGCGACGAUCUGUAGCUGGUCUGAGAGGAUGACCAGCCACACUGGAACUGAGACACGGUCCAGACUCCUACGGGAGGCAGCAGUGGGGAAUAUUGGACAAUGGGCGCAAGCCUGAUCCAGCAAUGCCGCGUGUGGGAAGAAGGCCUUCGGGUUGUAAAGCACUUUUGGAGGGAAGGAAAAGGGUAUAGCUAAUACCUGUGGCUGAUGACGGUACCGUAAGAAUAAGCACCGGCUAACUACGUG